GUGUUGGGCCACUGUGCAUGCUUUGCCAUUACUAACAUUAUCUCAACAUCUUUAUGUGCGGCAACGAAGCAGCAGUCAUGCAAAUUCACACAUCAAUUUGCCCAGCAAGGAACGGCGCUACACAACCACUGCAAGAAAUCACAGCACCUGUAGAGCGUGAAGUUCGUGUUGCAGACUCUUCUGGGAUAAAAUUCAACAAUCUUCAUCCGUGUCACAAUGAAAUGCAAGAUGGCAAUGUACAGUGAUCAUGGAAUUAAAUGCUACAUCAGAACUCCAAGCAUAACUGGCAUGCGCGAUUGAGAUAACCACAUAUGCCAUUACGAAUUUCACAACCAAAGACUGGCCCUGAUGUAAGUGCACAACGCAACAUGCGACACGAAUCGAGGACGGUGGAAACAUAAGUACAUGUGUCACUCAGCUGUAAAUUGACUCAUUUCAUUCCAUGGGCACUGUACACAGCAGUACAACGAAAUACCGCACCAUUUAUUAAAGCUUGGGUCGCAACUGUGUCCUCUGCUAGUUCUUCUUAGAGUACAGAAUAUUUGGUGAGACACAACCAUGCUGAAUGUGCACGUACACAUGCAAUGAAAAAUCCCUGUUCAAACUCGUUCACCU
rnacentral:lncRNA from 1 species